UCUAUAGCACACACACCAUCACAGAGACAAAACAACAUCAAAAACAACAUCAAACACCAUCAAGUACAAUUUCUACUCCAAGAAAAUUCAAUUUUGAAAAUAAAAAUUACCUCGAAAACAAAAAGCACGAUGAUGGAAACCUUUGCAGACCACGACCACGAUGAUGCACCCCCACUGCCACAAACGCUAUACCACGACCCACCACCCUGCCGGAAACACCACGUCACCAACGACCACACCUCCAUGGGAGACUCACCCUCGACACCACCAACCCUCAGCGCAGCAACCACUCGAACCCUAGCCCAAGACUCCCAAACCAGAACGCACCGUGAAGGAACCCUAUUCGAGAAUGACCACCACCAGGACUAUCCGAGAAAGUGAGAGAGGGUGAAGAAAAGGCGAGACGUGAAAAGGGAGGGAAUUNUCUGAAGGAAACGACGAACUCGACGAAGGCUGAAGAAAGUGAAAUUGGGGAACGAAAACCCCAACUGAGGUUUUAAAUCAGGGAGGAACUUACCGACGGCUCAAAAGCCUUCGGUAAGCAUAACAUUACCCACGGCCUCAAGGCCUUCGGUAAUAUGUCGUAGAUAAAUCGCGCUUUUCCU
rnacentral:lncRNA from 1 species